rnacentral:rRNA from 1 species
UGAGGAAUCUUGCGCAAUGGGGGAAACCCUGACGCAGCAACGCCGCGUGAGUGAGGAAGGCCUUCGGGUCGUAAAGCUCUGUCAGAUGGGAAGAAAUGGGUGGGGGCUAAUAUCGUCCAUCCUUGACGGUACCAUCAGAGGAAGCACCGGCUAACUCCGUGCCAGCAGCCGCGGUAAUACGGGGGGUGCAAGCGUUGUUCGGAAUUAUUGGGCGUAAAGCGCGCGCAGGCGGCUUGGUAAGUCAGAUGUGAAAUCCCUGGGCUUAACCCAGGAAGUGCAUUUGAUACUGCCUCGCUAGAGUACGGGAGAGGAAAGUGGAAUUCCUGGUGUAGAGGUGAAAUUCGUAGAUAUCAGGAGGAACACCGGUGGCGAAGGCGACUUUCUGGCCCGAUACUGACGCGCAGGCGCGAAAGCGUGGGGAGCAAACA